GAUGAACGCUGGCGGCGUGCCUAAUACAUGCAAGUCGAGCGAACGGACGCGAAGCUUGCUUCUCUGAUGUUAGCGGCGGACGGGUGAGUAACACGUGGAUAACCUACCUAUCAGACUGGGAUAACUUCGGGAAACCGGAGCUAAUACCGGAUAAUAUUUUGAACCGCAUGGUUCAAAAGUGAAAGACGGUCUUGCUGUCACUUAUAGAUGGAUCCGCGCUGCAUUAGCUAGUUGGUAAGGUCACGGCUUACCAAGGCAACGAUGCAUAGCCGAACUGAGAGAGGGAUAGGCGACACUGGAACUGAGACACGGUCAAGACUCCUACGAGAGGCAGCAGUAGGGAAUCGGCCGCAAUGGGCGAAAGCCUGACGGAGCAACGCGGCGUGUGUGAUGAAGGUCUUCGGAUCGUAAAACUCUGUUAUUAGGGAAGAACAUAUGUGUAAGUAACUGUGCACAUCGUGACGGUACCUAAUCAGAAAGCAACGGCUAACUACGUG
rnacentral:rRNA from 1 species